rnacentral:rRNA from 1 species
GACGAACGCUGGCGGCGUGCUUAACACAUGCAAGUCGAACGGAAAGGCCCUGCUUUUGUGGGGUGCUCGAGUGGCGAACGGGUGAGUAACACGUGAGUAACCUGCCCUUGACUUUGGGAUAACUUCAGGAAACUGGGGCUAAUACCGGAUAGGAGCUCCUGCUGCAUGGUGGGGGUUGGAAAGUUUCGGCGGUUGGGGAUGGCUUCGCGGCUUUUCAGCUUGUUGGUGGGGUAGUGGCCUACCAAGGCUUUGACGGGUAGCCGGCCUGAGAGGGUGACCGGCCACAUUGGGACUGAGAUACGGCCCAGACUCCUACGGGAGGCAGCAGUGGGGAAUAUUGCACAAUGGGCGGAAGCCUGAUGCAGCAACGCCGCGUGCGGGAUGACGGCCUUCGGGUUGUAAACCGCUUUCGCCUGUGACGAAGCGUGAGUGACGGUAAUGGGUAAAGAAGCACCGGCUAACUACGUG